UAACUGCGCCACAAAGGUCUCAAGGACCCCAACGGCUAGUCGACAUCGUUUACGGCGUGGACUACCAGGGUAUCUAAUCCUGUUUGCUACCCACGCUUUCGCACCUCAGCGUCAGUGUCAGUCCAGAAGGCCGCCUUCGCCACUGGUAUUCCUCCCGAUCUCUACGCAUUUCACCGCUACACCGGGAAUUCUACCUUCCUCUCCUGCACUCUAGCCUGACAGUUCCGGAUGCCGUUCCCAGGUUGAGCCCGGGGCUUUCACAACCGGCUUAUCACGCCGCCUACGCGCGCUUUACGCCCAGUAAUUCCGAUUAACGCUUGCACCCUCCGUAUUACCGCGGCUGCUGGCACGGAGUUAGCCGGUGCUUCUUCUGUGAGUGAUGUCCUUCCUCGGGGGUAUUAGCCCCAAGGCCUUCUUCCUCACUGAAAGUGCUUUACAACCCGAAAGCCUUCUUCACACACGCGGCAUGGCUGGAUCAGGCUUUCGCCCAUUGUCCAAUAUUCCCCACUGCUGCCUCCCGUAGAGUUUCGGGCCGUGUCUCAGUCCCGAUGUGGCUGAUCAUCCUCUCAGACCAGCUACGGAUCGUCGCCUUGGUGAGCCAUUACCUCACCAACAAGCUAAUCCGACAUAGGCUCAUCCGAUAGCGCAAGGUCCGAAGAUCCCCUGCUUUCUCCCGUAGGACGUAUGCGGUAUUAGCCUGGGUUUCCCCAGGUUAUCCCCCACUACCGGGCAGAUUCUAUGCAUUACUCA
rnacentral:rRNA from 1 species